CACACGUCAUGCCUGACGAAGACAGAAAGGUAGCUACCGGGCUGGAUCUCAACCCAGCCAUAAUACGGGAAGCCCGAAGACCACCACUUCGGAAGACGCAAGAAAAACAAGGAGAGUGACCCAUCUCUGCAAUGGAAAAAGCACAGUAAGUCCAACGAGCAACUAUGGAAAGAGAAAAGAUGAGGCAUGCGUUAAACAAGAAGGAAAUGAAAUGAGUCAAACAAAGGAGAUCACAUGAGGUAAGUGAAGACGAAGUCAGUGAAGGUUAGAUAUAGGGCGACAAGAUAGGAAAAAACAGGGAAAGGCAGGAAAGGAAAAGGAGCAUGAAAUGAAAGGCAAUGGAGAAACACGAGAAGCCUAAAGUGCACAACGAGGGAAGAAGGAAGAAGGAAUAAGUGCAUGAAAAGAAAGGCGAGGGAGAGAAAGAUGAGAAGCCUAAAGACUACCAUGAGGAAGAAGCAGGGAAGGAAUAUGAGCAUGAAAAAAAGGCUGUAAUGGUAAAAGCCUGAAAACGAACCAAGAAGGCGUCACAUGGCUGGGCAUCCAUGCCUGGGAGGAGGAAAGGGUAGCUACUGGGCAUGCUGCAACCUCUACGAGUGAUGGAACUUGUGCGCUACCUCCCCCUGAGGAGUCCGGGGCUGCUAGCCAGAAGAAGCAUCUCUCUGGAACACAGAAAGCGCUUCCAGUCAUGCCGGGAAGGAGGAAAGGGUAGCUACCGGGCAUGGAUCUACCCAGCCAUCAGACGGGAAGCCCGAAGACCACCACUUCGGAAGACGCAAGAACAACCAGGUGGAGUUAUCCCAUCCGUGCAAUUGAGAAAGAUGAGAAGCGUUAUGUCGGCCACCCAGGAAGACGCAAGAACAACCAGGUGGAGUUAUCCCAUCCGUGCAAUUGAGAAAGUCCUGCAAAUCCAUCCAGCAAUGGAGGAAAUGGGAGAGACAAGGCUUGAGUUAAACAAGUUGGAAGGGCAAAGAGAAAAUAAUCAAGAAAGAUCACAUGAGGUUAGAGUAGGCAAUGUUAGGGGGAGAAGCAAUGUGACGUGGAAUGGAAAGACAGGGAAGGAAAUGGAGAAUGAAUAG
rnacentral:lncRNA from 1 species